CCGGGGAUUAGUGGCGAACGGGUGAGUAACACGUGAGUAACCUGCCCUUGACUCUGGGAUAAGCCUGGGAAACCGGGUCUAAUACCGGAUAUGACUUCCUGCCGCAUGGUGGGGGGUGGAAAGAUUUUUUGGUUUUGGAUGGACUCGCGGCCUAUCAGCUUGUUGGUGGGGUAAUGGCCUACCAAGGCGACGACGGGUAGCCGGCCUGAGAGGGUGACCGGCCACACUGGGACUGAGACACGGCCCAGACUCCUACGGGAGGCAGCAGUGGGGAAUAUUGCACAAUGGGCGCAAGCCUGAUGCAGCGACGCCGCGUGAGGGAUGACGGCCUUCGGGUUGUAAACCUCUUUCAGCAGGGAAGAAGCGGAAGUGACGGUACCUGCAGAAGAAGCGCCGGCUAACUACGUGCCAGCAGCCGCGGUAAUACGUAGGGCGCAAGCGUUGUCCGGAAUUAUUGGGCGUAAAGAGCUCGUAGGCGGUUUGUCGCGUCUGCUGUGAAAGCCCGGGGCUCAACCCCGGGUCUGCAGUGGGUACGGGCAGACUGGAGUGCAGUAGGGGAGACUGGAAUUCCUGGUGUAGCGGUGAAAUGCGCAGAUAUCAGGAGGAACACCGAUGGCGAAGGCAGGUCUCUGGGCUGUAACUGACGCUGAGGAGCGAAAGCAUGGGGAGCGAACAGGAUUAGAUACCCUGGUAGUCCAUGCCGUAAACGUUGGGCACUAGGUGUGGGGGACAUUCCACGUUUUCCGCGCCGUAGCUAACGCAUUAAGUGCCCCGCCUGGGGAGUACGGCCGCAAGGCUAAAACUCAAAGGAAUUGACGGGGGCCCGCACAAGCGGCGGAGCAUGCGGAUUAAUUCGAUGCAACGCGAAGAACCUUACCAAGGCUUGACAUGGGCCGGAUCGCCGCAAAAAUGCGGUUUCCCUUCGGGGCCGGUUCACAGGUGGUGCAUGGUUGUCGUCAGCUCGUGUCGUGAGAUGUUGGGUUAAGUCCCGCAACGAGCGCAACCCUCGUUCUAUGUUGCCAGCGGUUCGGCCGGGGACUCAUAGGAGACUGCCGGGGUCAACUCGGAGGAAGGUGGGGACGACGUCAAAUCAUCAUGCCCCUUAUGUCUUGGGCUUCACGCAUGCUACAAUGGCCGGUACAAAGGGUUGCGAUACUGUGAGGUGGAGCUAAUCCCAAAAAGCCGGUCUCAGUUCGGAUUGAGGUCUGCAACUCGACCUCAUGAAGUCGGAGUCGCUAGUAAUCGCAGAUCAGCAACGCUGCGGUGAA
rnacentral:rRNA from 1 species